GGUAUAGUUGGACGUACUAUAGUAUGUAGAGGGCUAUAGGUGACAAAUUCAUCCUUGAUGUGAUAUGUUUGUGAUGUGUUGCAUUUCAUGAAAGCAUGAACAAGAAAAAGUUACUUAAUAAGAUACCUAAAAAUGGAGGAACUAUGAUAACAAUAAAAUGAACAAUAAGAUACCUAAAAAUGGAGGAAUUAAAGCAAAUAUUUUUAGUUUCUGCUCACUGGGCUUUCUAGCUCACCCCUCUCCCCUAACCCCAGUCUUGCAGGUGCAGAGUAGGUAGAG
rnacentral:lncRNA from 1 species